rnacentral:tRNA from 1 species
GGGAGUGUAGCUCAAUCGAAGAGAGCAUCGAGCUUCUAACUCGAAGGUUGUAGGUUUGAGUCCUACCACUCUCGCCU